CCCUCAUAUAGAAGAGGGUGUUGCUCACCCCAUCUUCCCCAAUGUCCUAAUUGAAUUCUAACUAGGAGGAGAUAGAGAUGGAGAGAGUGGCAUCCUUAUCUUGGCUGCUCCCUUUUUAAGUCCUUCUAGGAUAUAGACUUGAGAGAGGAAAGGUGUGGGUAGCAGCUUGAUAAGAAUGCCACACCCCCUCUUCUCCUUCUUUAGAAGAUGGCGCCCUAGCUAUAGGCAACCCAUUAAGUAGGGGGAAGUUAGCCCAAC
rnacentral:lncRNA from 1 species